UUAAGCGACUAAGCGUACACGGUGGAUGCCCUGGCAGUCAGAGGCGAUGAAGGACGUGCUAAUCUGCGAUAAGCGUCGGUAAGGUGAUAUGAACCGUUAUAACCGGCGAUUUCCGAAUGGGGAAACCCAGUGUGUUUCGACACACUAUCAUUAACUGAAUCCAUAGGUUAAUGAGGCGAACCGGGGGAACUGAAACAUCUAAGUACCCCGAGGAAAAGAAAUCAACCGAGAUUCCCCCAGUAGCGGCGAGCGAACGGGGAGCAGCCCAGAGCCUGAAUCAGUGUGUGUGUUAGUGGAAGCGUCUGGAAAGGCGCGCGAUACAGGGUGACAGCCCCGUACACAAAAAUGCACAUACUGUGAGCUCGAUGAGUAGGGCGGGACACGUGGUAUCCUGUCUGAAUAUGGGGGGACCAUCCUCCAAGGCUAAAUACUCCUGACUGACCGAUAGUGAACCAGUACCGUGAGGGAAAGGCGAAAAGAACCCCGGCGAGGGGAGUGAAAAAGAACCUGAAACCGUGUACGUACAAGCAGUGGGAGCCUCUUUAUGGGGUGACUGCGUACCUUUUGUAUAAUGGGUCAGCGACUUAUAUUCUGUAGCAAGGUUAACCGAAUAGGGGAGCCGAAGGGAAACCGAGUCUUAACUGGGCGUUAAGUUGCAGGGUAUAGACCCGAAACCCGGUGAUCUAGCCAUGGGCAGGUUGAAGGUUGGGUAACACUAACUGGAGGACCGAACCGACUAAUGUUGAAAAAUUAGCGGAUGACUUGUGGCUGGGGGUGAAAGGCCAAUCAAACCGGGAGAUAGCUGGUUCUCCCCGAAAGCUAUUUAGGUAGCGCCUCGUGAAUUCAUCUCCGGGGGUAGAGCACUGUUUCGGCAAGGGGGUCAUCCCGACUUACCAACCCGAUGCAAACUGCGAAUACCGGAGAAUGUUAUCACGGGAGACACACGGCGGGUGCUAACGUCCGUCGUGAAGAGGGAAACAACCCAGACCGCCAGCUAAGGUCCCAAAGUCAUGGUUAAGUGGGAAACGAUGUGGGAAGGCCCAGACAGCCAGGAUGUUGGCUUAGAAGCAGCCAUCAUUUAAAGAAAGCGUAAUAGCUCACUGGUCGAGUCGGCCUGCGCGGAAGAUGUAACGGGGCUAAACCAUGCACCGAAGCUGCGGCAGCGACACUAUGUGUUGUUGGGUAGGGGAGCGUUCUGUAAGCCUGUGAAGGUGUGCUGUGAGGUAUGCUGGAGGUAUCAGAAGUGCGAAUGCUGACAUAAGUAACGAUAAAGCGGGUGAAAAGCCCGCUCGCCGGAAGACCAAGGGUUCCUGUCCAACGUUAAUCGGGGCAGGGUGAGUCGACCCCUAAGGCGAGGCCGAAAGGCGUAGUCGAUGGGAAACAGGUUAAUAUUCCUGUACUUGGUGUUACUGCGAAGGGGGACGGAGAAGGCUAUGUUGGCCGGGCGACGGUUGUCCCGGUUUAAGCGUGUAGGCUGGUUUUCCAGGCAAAUCCGGAAAAUCAAGGCUGAGGCGUGAUGACGAGGCACUACGGUGCUGAAGUAACAAAUGCCCUGCUUCCAGGAAAAGCCUCUAAGCAUCAGGUAACAUCAAAUCGUACCCCAAACCGACACAGGUGGUCAGGUAGAGAAUACCAAGGCGCUUGAGAGAACUCGGGUGAAGGAACUAGGCAAAAUGGUGCCGUAACUUCGGGAGAAGGCACGCUGAUACGUAGGUGAAGUCCCUUGCGGAUGGAGCUGAAAUCAGUCGAAGAUACCAGCUGGCUGCAACUGUUUAUUAAAAACACAGCACUGUGCAAACACGAAAGUGGACGUAUACGGUGUGACGCCUGCCCGGUGCCGGAAGGUUAAUUGAUGGGGUUAGCGGUAACGCGAAGCUCUUGAUCGAAGCCCCGGUAAACGGCGGCCGUAACUAUAACGGUCCUAAGGUAGCGAAAUUCCUUGUCGGGUAAGUUCCGACCUGCACGAAUGGCGUAAUGAUGGCCAGGCUGUCUCCACCCGAGACUCAGUGAAAUUGAACUCGCUGUGAAGAUGCAGUGUACCCGCGGCAAGACGGAAAGACCCCGUGAACCUUUACUAUAGCUUGACACUGAACAUUGAGCCUUGAUGUGUAGGAUAGGUGGGAGGCUUUGAAGUGUGGACGCCAGUCUGCAUGGAGCCGACCUUGAAAUACCACCCUUUAAUGUUUGAUGUUCUAACGUUGGCCCCUGAUCGGGGUUGCGGACAGUGUCUGGUGGGUAGUUUGACUGGGGCGGUCUCCUCCUAAAGAGUAACGGAGGAGCACGAAGGUUGGCUAAUCCUGGUCGGACAUCAGGAGGUUAGUGCAAUGGCAUAAGCCAGCUUGACUGCGAGCGUGACGGCGCGAGCAGGUGCGAAAGCAGGUCAUAGUGAUCCGGUGGUUCUGAAUGGAAGGGCCAUCGCUCAACGGAUAAAAGGUACUCCGGGGAUAACAGGCUGAUACCGCCCAAGAGUUCAUAUCGACGGCGGUGUUUGGCACCUCGAUGUCGGCUCAUCACAUCCUGGGGCUGAAGUAGGUCCCAAGGGUAUGGCUGUUCGCCAUUUAAAGUGGUACGCGAGCUGGGUUUAGAACGUCGUGAGACAGUUCGGUCCCUAUCUGCCGUGGGCGCUGGAGAACUGAGGGGGGCUGCUCCUAGUACGAGAGGACCGGAGUGGACGCAUCACUGGUGUUCGGGUUGUCAUGCCAAUGGCACUGCCCGGUAGCUAAAUGCGGAAGAGAUAAGUGCUGAAAGCAUCUAAGCACGAAACUUGCCCCGAGAUGAGUUCUCCCUGACUCCUUGAGAGUCCUGAAGGAACGUUGAAGACGACGACGUUGAUAGGCCGGGUGUGUAAGCGCAGCGAUGCGUUGAGCUAACCGGUACUAAUGAACCGUGAGGCUUAACCUU
rnacentral:rRNA from 1 species